rnacentral:rRNA from 1 species
UACGUAGGGGGCUAGCGUUGUCCGGAAUCAUUGGGCGUAAAGAGCGUGUAGGCGGCCCGGUAAGUCCGCUGUGAAAGUCGGGGGCUCAACCCUCGAAUGCCGGUGGAUACUGUCGGGCUAGAGUGCGGAAGAGGCGAGUGGAAUUCCCGGUGUAGCGGUGAAAUGCGCAGAUAUCGGGAGGAACACCUAUGGCGAAGGCAGCUCGCUGGGACGUUACUGACGCUGAGACGCGAAAGCGUGGGGAGCAAACAGG